GAAAAUGUCCCCUAGGGUUCCGCGGCGCCUGGCGCGCCGGACUGGUCCGAGAGGGGGCUCACGGCACUGUUGCCGUGCCACGGAAGGACAAAAGCCUGGGAGAU
rnacentral:sRNA from 2 species